GAUGAACGCUGACAGAAUGCUUAACACAUGCAAGUCAACUUGAACUUCGGUUUGGGUGGCGGACGGGUGAGUAACGCGUAAAGAACUUGCCUCACAGCUAGGGACAACAUUUGGAAACGAAUGCUAAUACCUGAUAUUAUGAUUAUAUGGCAUCGUAUAAUUAUGAAAGCUAUAUGCGCUGUGAGAGAGCUUUGCGUCCCAUUAGCUAGUUGGAGAGGUAACAGCUCACCAAGGCGAUGAUGGGUAGCCGGCCUGAGAGGGUGAUCGGCCACAAGGGGACUGAGACACGGCCCUUACUCCUACGGGGGGCAGCAGUGGGGAAUAUUGGACAAUGGACCGAGAGUCUGAUCCAGCAACUCUGUGUGCACGAUGAAGUUUUUCGGAAUGUAAAGUGCUUUCAGUUGGGAAGAAAAAAAUGACGGUACCAACAGAAGAAGUGACGGCUAAAUACGUG
rnacentral:rRNA from 1 species